AUAGUGCAGCUCUAAGUUAGUGGUAAACUCCAUCUAAGGCUAAAUAUGACCACGAGACCGAUAGCGAACAAGUGCCGUGAGGGAAAGUUGAAAAGACCUUUGAAGAGAGAGUUUAAAAGUACGUGAAACCGUUCAGGGGUAAACCUGAGAAACCCAAAAGAUCGAAUGGGGAGAUUCAUCGUCAGCGGCGUUGUCUUUUGUGCGGUUCGUGAUGCCCGGGACUUCGGUCUCGCGGCACGCGUCCGCUGCGGUAGUCCAGCGUCGUCGGCGUGCACUUCUCCCCUAGUAGGACGUCGCGACCCGUUUGGUGCCGGCCUACGGCCCGGUUUAUCGCCUGUAUCGUCGCGUUCGCGCGUUCGUUACAGACUUACCGGUCGCCCGGCCGGCUGCUCAGCGGUAUAGAUCGAUAUUAUACGGUAAUGAGCCGCACUAAGUGCUUUCUGGCUCGUCGGCAGGCUCGUCUCGCUCGGAUUUACGGACCUAGUACCGUUGCCGGGUGCUUGGCGCGGCCGUUAGUCGACGAUGUCCUCGAACUGGCUCUUACAUUCGAACGGAUGUACCGGUCAGCGACGCUGUUGCUUUGGGUACUUUCAGGACCCGUCUUGA
rnacentral:rRNA from 1 species